rnacentral:rRNA from 1 species
GAUGAACGCUGGCGGCGUGCCUAAUACAUGCAAGUCGAGCGAACAGACGAGGAGCUUGCUCCUCUGACGUUAGCGGCGGACGGGUGAGUAACACGUGGAUAACCUACCUAUAAGACUGGGAUAACUUCGGGAAACCGGAGCUAAUACCGGAGAAUAUAUUGAACCGCAUGGUUUAAUAGUGAAAGACGGUUUUGCUGUCACUUCUAGAUGGAUCAGCGCCGCAUUAGCUAGUUGGUAAGGUAACGGCUUACCAAGGCGACGAUGCGUAGCCGACCUGGGAGGGUGAUCGGCCACACUGGAACUGAGACACGGUCCAGACUCCUACGGGAGGCAGCAGUAGGGAAUCUUCCGCAAUGGUCGAAAGCCUGGCGGAGCAACGCCGCGUGAGUGAUGAAGGUCUUCGGAUCGUAAAACUCUGUUAUUAGGGAAGAACAAAUGUGUAAGUAACUAUGCACGUCUUGACGGUACCUAAUCAGAAAGCCACGGCUAACUACGUG